rnacentral:tRNA from 1 species
UAAACAAAACCUAAUAUUAUAGGGUUACAGUGAUAGUGUAAUUAAGUGUGUUAAUCACUUGUUUAA